GAUGAAGAACGUAGCGAAAUGCGAUAAGUAGUGUGAAUUGCAGAAUUCCGUGAAUCAUCGAAUCUUUGAACGCACAUUGCGCCCCUUGGUAUUCCAUGGGGCAUGCCUGUUCGAGCGUCAUUUGUACCUUCAAGCUCUGCUUGGUGUUGGGUGUUUGUCUCGCCUCUGCGUGUAGACUCGCCUCAAAACAAUUGGCAGCCGGCGUAUUGAUUUCGGAGCGCAGUACAUCUCGCGCUUUGCACUCAUAACGACGACGUCCAAAAGUACAUUUUUACACUCUUGACCUCGGAUCAGGUAGGGAUACCCGCUGAACUUAAGCAUAUCAAUAAGCGGAGGA
rnacentral:misc_RNA from 1 species